UGCAACAUCCUGCCCGCCGCCGCCUCAUCCAGUCAUCCUCCUGCCCUGCUGCAGCAUCACCCCUCCACCGCAUCCUCUCUGCCUAGCUGCCUCAGUCCUCCGAUCCACUCAUCGCAGCCAGGUCGGACGCGGCCAUCUCCUCAUCCCACCGGAUCCCGGCCGCCGCCGAUCUCUUCACUGGCAGGAUUGGAUCUGACAGCCAAAACACCAGUAUCGUAAUCGGCGGCUGCUGCUCUCGUUGCCCACGGGAUCGGACUCCACUUCAUCAACUCACCAGGAAGAUAUGGCUCAGCAAGUUUGAUGAUUUUCUUGUGCUUUGUCCGUCGCUGAAGAAGCGGUGUCAUUUUGUUUGCUUCAAAAUGCAUCUGUAGAUGUUACAAAAAAUGAGAGCAGAUGAUGAGGGCGUGAUGGUGGCUCGUUGGCAAUACCUUGUCAACCUUGUAACUGAACUAGUACUACAUGUGAAGGUUGUGCCACCCCGGAAACCACCCAGGACCUCUCCGCCGAUGCUGCCAAUACCCCACGCCCCUCCGCCUUCCUCGCUAGCGCCGACGGCCAGCUCCGUGGUGCCGCCGCGAAAGAUAGGAAGAACAAAACAGCUCAACUGAC